UUAACGAGUAGAAAAUUCAAAAUGGUCGCCCUGUUUUGUUGAGUGCGCGAAGAAAAAUUGAGCUCCCGUUCAGAACUAAUUAUUUACUUAUCGAAAGUAAUAAAAUUCAGAAAGUUUAGUGAAAAACAUUCGAUAUAUUUACUGCCUUCAGUUGGAUAUAAAAAAUUCGCGCAAACACAACAAAACAGUGACGAAAAUUGGUUAGAAAGUUAGUACUCAAAUUCGUGCGCAAAGUGUAUGCAAAAAGGAAAAUUGUUCCCCCAUCUGCCUCAUAGCAUUUUUCGGUGCUCAGCGACGGUGAAAAGCAAACAAGCGAAAAAGUAUUGAACGUAUAUGCAUUCAGUGAGCAAAUAGCAAACGGGCGACGGACAAAUAGUUAGCAAGUUGUUUUAAUCUGUGUUUAAUAAUAGCGUAAUAAAACAUUAUUUUCGGAAAAUUCUUGGAAGCCACGCGUUUUGGUGUACUUCUAGUGUUUAAUUACAAAAAGUGCGAAAAAAUCAAAAAAAUAAAACAAAAAUAUCGCGCUUUAACGAAGCACGACUGUGUGGAUGAGAACAAAGCACUCUUGAAAGGAAUACCAUACUCAAGACCGAUUAUAGCAGGAGGGAAGCGGUCAAGCAUAAAACAGCUUUCGACACGCCGCAUUCCUCCUCGCCAUUGGGCGGAGCAACACUGUUAGCAACUAUGGAUUAGUAGCAGUUAAAAGAUUUCAAUUUGGAAGUGUUUGUCCAACAUUAAAUGAGACCGGUGUGUAAAGUACGUCAACCAAGUGUAUAUCAAGUACAAAUAAAUAAAUAUAAAUAGCUUUUAAAUUAUAAACAUUGUGAAAAAUUAUUUACUAUAAAAUUCCAAACUAAUUGUGCAAUUGCCAUAUAGUCAAUAAGCUAAACAAAUUGACCGUGUAACAUGUGUAUGUGCUAUAAAAUUAAAUAAAUCAGUCAUCAUUCUUGUUCGGCUUUCCCACAAUUCACAUAAAACACCGUAUUUGACGGGAUAUUAUUUUUACGGCCGCAUAGACAGCUGGUAUUUAUUAACUCACAAAAGCAACAAUUACACAAUUUGUCAAAAUCAAUGUUUAAAUAUUAUAUCAUCAUAGAGGGCAAUAAAAAGCUUAACACUGGACCGGAAGCGUGUCUUUAAAGGGUAAUGGCGGCCUCCACUCAGGGAGAAAUUCGAGUGGGUCCCGGCCACCAGGUAAACGAUGUCUAUGCAAAAUUGCCCGAUUAUAAUCCAAUUUCAAGCUUCCCCGUUGACAAGGAGUGCGACGAACGUGAAUUAGAAGAAUCAAGAUGGAGUCCUGGCAUUGUGGCCGAUGGCGAUUUGUUAAUGUUUUUGCGUGCGGCGCGUUCUAUGGCUGCAUUUCAAGGAAUGUGUGAUGGAGGUUUAGAAGACGGUUGUUUAGCUGCUAGUCGUGACGAUACAACAAUUAACGCAUUGGAUAUUUUACACGAUUCUGGUUACGAUCCAGGCAAAGCACUACAAGCACUCGUUAAGUGUCCCGUUUCGAAGGGCAUCGAUAAAAAGUGGACGGAGGACGAAACAAAGAAAUUCAUUAAGGGUCUACGACAAUUCGGUAAGAAUUUCUUUCGCAUACAUAAAGAUUUACUACCGCACAAAGAGACACCCGAAUUGGUGGAAUUUUACUAUUUGUGGAAGAAGACACCGGGUGCCAAUAAUAAUCGACCGCAUCGUCGACGCCGGCAAAGUGCCUUGCGUCGCAAUCGUGUCACACGCGCUAGUAAUACACCUCCGAAGAAGGAGGAUACACCGGAACCACAAACGGCGACGACGGCGUCAGCGGCGGCAGAUUCGACGCGCUCGUCGCCCGUUGUCUCCAAGGAGGAGAAUAGUUCUCUAACCGAGGACGAUAUCAGCGAGUGCGACAGCGAUUCCAGUCUAACAAACAAAAGGGAUGAAUCACCAUCUAGAAUGAGGACACGCAAUAAACAACAGCAACAGAAUAAUAAUACAAAAGAGCAAGCAACUCAACAAGUAGCGAAUGGUAAACGACCCAAACGUGGUACUGAAACACCCGACACAGUGACAGCAGCCGAUAGUCCAAAGACACCAACUAAAGGAGCAAACGCAAACGCUGAGAAUAAUACGACAACGACGGUGGCGGCGAAUAAGCGUAAGGGCGGUAAGCAGGAUACGCCGAACAAGAAGAAGCGUACCGAUGUGGAUGGUAACGCAGGUUCUGGCAGUGGUGGCGGCAGUGGUGAUGUCACCGAUGAUGGCAGCAGCCUCAGUAAGGACAGCGGUAAGCGUAAACGACCAGAUAGUCCGGCGGAGGAGAGCAUGAACUCGGAUAGUCGACCGGAUUCGGUAAUGGAUGAUGCUGAGUCAAAUACGACCGAUACCGUAGAACAGUCGCUGAAGGAAGGCAAAGAUAGCUCCGCCGGCAAAGAGGAUAGUGGUGCUGCAGAUGGCGAUUCGAAGGCGGACAUUAUUGAGAAGUCAGAGAAGCCUGCUGAAGACACCAAAGAGACGAUCAAAAAUGAUGAUGAAGAGACAAAUAUCCAAGCGCCAGUUAGCGGACAAGCGCCUGCAGUUCCACCACCAAGCGAUGUCGUAAGCGCUACGAUAAAAGAGCCAAUCUCAAGUGCUAACGAGGAGAAUAUGAAUGUAGUUAGUGCGCCGCCAACACCCAUGAAAGUUCCCACCAUAGCUACCGUUGAAGCGCUGAAUGCUUCUAUCGGCCGUGGCGAAUUGUCCACUGAGCGCAAGGACAUGGUCGAAAAGAUGGAUGUGACCGAAAGUAAUGCUGCCGCAGUCGACAUAGCGAAGGAGCAAGAGAUGAUGAAGAAGAUCGCUAAUAUGAAACAGGAAUCAAUGCAGCAACAGCAGCAACAACUGCCACCGAACAAUGCAAGUGUGAAUAUGCAGGAAACCGCAGUAUUCAUUAAGAAAGAACCUUUGGAUGAUUCCAUGGAUGCUACUUGCAAUCAGAACAGCAAUGAACCGCAGGACUUAAAAGUCAAAGUGGAGAUUAAAAACGAGGAAUGCAAAAGUAAUGCUGGCAUGCCACCAACGUCAAUGUCUUCAGCGAUCAACGACGCAGCUGGUGGUCCAGAGGCUCCACAACAGCCGCCUCAUAUGCAUAUGCAUCUCCCACCAGCUGGUGUCCAACCACCACCUGGAUAUAUUUUGGACGGACAGCUUAAGUACGGUCCACCGCCACCACAAUCGAUGUCAAGUAAUGAUAACAACGCACCGCCAUCGUCGGGUAUGCCCUUAGGUGGGCCUCCACCAACGCACAAGUAUCCUGGUGAUAUGGAAAUAAAGUACAAUGAGUCUGCUGCGGCGGCUGCUGCUGCUGCCGCUGGUAUCAAAUAUGAAGGCGGCAAGUUUGGAAUGCAGGAUAUCAAGUAUCCACCACCACCACUGGAACACGCCAUGAAGUACGGCACAGUACAAGAUAUGCAAGCAGCAGCGGCAGCGGCGGCUGCUGCAGCUGCUGCGGGCGCGGGUAAAUAUGAUAUGAAAUUCGCUUUAGAACAACAGGGCAAAUAUCCGGGUGAUCUAUCUGCACAUCAACAACCACCGAAAGGUUUCCCUGGUGAGCAGCUAAAAAUGCCUGACAUGAAGGGCUCAAGUAUUUAUAACAUGCCAAAUGCUGAAAGCAAAUAUGCGCCACCGACCAGUCAGCCGGGCGAUGUAGGUGGUUUGAAAUACGUUGGCGCAGGCGCACCACAGGAUACACAGCCGCCACCAACGCACGGUGCUCCACCUGGUGCUACGCCGCCACCCGGCAUUGCGAUGCCGAAGCCCCAUUAUCAGCAUGAGGUGCAACAUCCAUUGGCACGUUCUGCUUUUGAGUCAAGCUUAAUGCUGAAGUAUGGCGAUCCAAUGUCUGCAAAGUAUGGACCGCCCCAAGAUUUGAAAUAUCCGCCACCCCCUCAAGGCUCUAAUGAUGGUGGUCCAAUGAAACCCUUGCCAUAUGCAGAAAAUCUUGUUAAAGGUUCGCCAUAUGGCCCACAAGAGUCAGGCGGUAUGAAAUAUCCGCCUUCGGAAAGCCCAAUAGAUGCAUCGUCUCGUUCGACGCCGGGCCAGGAUAGCCAGGGUAGUAAUAGUAGUUCACAACCGUCGUCACAGCAGCAACAGUUCCAAUCACCGCAUCCAUCGCCACACUUGCCUUCACCGGCAGGUGGUGGUUUACCGCCUGGUAUGCAUCCACAGAAUUUGGUGUCUCCGCACGGACCACCUUCUCAUGGUCAGAUGAACUCUGGUCUACCACCUGGCGCAUCUGGGCCACCUCCACCUAGUUCAAUGCACCAUCCUCAUCUCACGCCAUCACCGAACAACUCUCAGCAAUUACAAGGACCACACUCACAAUCUUCUGUUGCUUCAUCGAUGCCACCGACCUCAGUUGGUGCACCACCGCCAUUGUCAACGGUAGCACCAUCCGGUCUACAUCCCCAACAUCUCCUGCCCAGCCAUCUGCAACAGUUGCAUCGUCAACAUCAAGAUAUGCCAGGUGGAAUGCAUCCGCACGCGCCAAUUCCACUCACACUUCAGGGUCAUGACCCGAGAGGGGGUCCACCGCCACCCACACACCAAAUGCCGCCUCAACCAUUGCAAUCGAGCACAGUGCGCACGCCUUCACCAGCGCAGCAACCACAGUCCCGCAGUUUGCACGAGGAGCGCAUGAAUAUCAAUAGCAGCACACCUACUGGACCACCACGUGAACCGCCAACGUCGCAAGCAUCAAUGCCACCACAACAGUCACCGCAUGCACACCGCAGCUCUCCUCUAACUGGAAUGCCUGGAAAUCCACCACCAGGUCUAAUUGGUCACCCUAUGCCCAUACAUCCACAUCUAGCGCAUUUGCCGCCAGGUCAUCCAGCGCAUGCUGCCGUCGCUGGUGUUGGUCAUGCAGGGCAUCCAAUGUUAUCGCACUCAAUGGCCGGGUUGGGUCCGGGUGGCGGUGGCCCAAUUGCUUUAUUGGCUGGGCCACCAUCGUUGACUGGCAUGCCGGAGUCGCCGCUAAGCAGACGUACACCGCCAUCGCAUAUUGCACCACCGCAUUCCUCGUCUGCACCGCCACACUCGUCCGUUGCUGUUAGUAUGUCUUCUACCACAACGUCUGCCAGUACUGCUUCAAACACGAAUACUGUGCCAUCUUCUGCCUUCAGCCGUGCUAGUCCAAGCGUGCAAGGACCGAACUCAAUUGGUGGGCCACAGAGUAUUGGCGGAGGUGGUGGUAAUGUCGGAUUGCCCGGAAGUAGCGGCACACCUGGUUCAAACGCUGCGCAUCGUUCAACGUCGCCUGCUUCAAGUGUUGGAAGUUUAAGUCGACAAAGUCCACUACAUCCGGUACCGCAAAGCCCACUCAGCCAUCAUCCGUCGUCGUCAGCACUUUCGGCGGCAGCAGCUGCUGUAGCAGAGCGAGAUCGUCAUGCACUUUUGCGUCAGCAAUCACCGCACAUGACACCGCCACCAGUAUCCAGUGCUUCCUCGUUGAUGGCUAGCCCAUUAAGCAAAAUGUACUGUCCCCAACCAAAUCAACGGGUACUGGGCACUUCACCACCACCGCAUCUGCGACCUGGAGCUUCACCGCCUGUCAUCCGACACCCACAAAUGCCACUGCCAUUGCCAUUAAUUCCGACAGGUGCUGGUAUACCACAAAUAGCCGUACAUCCCGGCCAGUCGCCAUAUCCCCAUCCACUUUUACAUCCAUCAAUGUUUUACUCCCCGCACCAUCACAAUCCCUUCAACUAUGGCUACGGACCGUACGGUCCUGGUUUCCCCACAGCAUACAUGAAACCACCACCUCCCGGUGGACCACUUGACCCAGCCUCUGUGCUUGGUGGACAUCAUCCUGGCUUACCGGGACCGCCACCCACACGCCCCGACGAUCCAGCAAUGGCAGCUGCUGCAGCGGCGGCGGCUGAGAAGCAAGCUGUGGCUGCUCACCAGCUAAAACAACAGCAACAACAUCAUCAGCAUCAACAGCAACAGGCGGCAGCACAAGCGCAAGCUCAGGCACAAGCUCAAGCACAAGCACAGGCGCAAGCGCAGGCUCAGGCACAGAACAAACCCCCAACACCAAAGACACCGCAGGGCAGCAACAGUAGUGGCGGUCCACCGGGCAGUUCACAUUCGACGCCAACUGGUCUGCCACCAGCUGGUUAUCCGGGAGCGCAUUUAGGCGGCUAUCCACCACCGCCGCACUCCUCGCCAUUCCAAGAUGGUCAACCAAUGGGUAUGAAGCCAACAUCGCACAUGGAUGCGUUGCGAGCGCACGCACACUCCGCUAAUCUGGGCGGUCCACAUCACCCGACGGAGCCAUUACCGAUUGACAUCGAACCCGAUCCGGAGCCGGAAAUUCCUAGCCCAACGCAGAAUAUACCGCGCGGCCCUAGUCCCGAAGCCAAACCCGAUGACACAGAAUGCCAUCGCUCGCAAUCAGCUAUCUUUGUACGUCACAUCGAUCGUGGUGACUAUAACUCCUGCACACGUACGGAUUUGAUUUUCAAGCCUGUGGCCGACUCGAAAUUGGCGCGAAAGCGUGAAGAGCGCGACAGAAAGUUAGCCGAAAAGGAACGUGAGCGGCGUCAGCAACAACAGCAACAGCAACAACAACAGCAGCAACAAGCUGUCGCAGCACAACAGGCGGCCCAACAGGCCAAAUUGAAGGCCGAGCUGAAGCCGCCAUAUGCGGAUACGCCAGCAUUGCGUCAAUUAUCCGAGUACGCCAGGCCACAUGUGGCUUUCAGCCCUGUUGAACAGAUGGUACCAUAUCAUCACCCAAUGGGGCCAAUGUAUAGUAGAGAGAGGGAAUUGGAAGAGAUAAAGAAUGCACAAGCGGCGGCCGCCAGUCAGUCGCGCAUGGAUCCGCAUUGGAUGGAAUACUACAGACGCGGCAUUCAUCCCUCACAAUUCCCGUUGUACGCCAAUCCUGCGGCUAUUUCACAAAUGGAGCGCGAGCGCUUGGGCAUACCGCCGCCACAUCAUGUUGGCCUAGAUCCCGGCGAGCAUAUGAUACGAUUGACGAGAGAAUAUCAUGCACACUCUCAUACUCAUUUACAUUUGCCUUUGCCUUCACAGCCGCAACCACCGGAGGCCGGAUUUCAACUGCCACCGAAUGUUGGCCAAUAUCCACGGCCAAGUAUGCUUAUGCCUAGAGAACCGGAUGUUUUGCUGCGCAUGUCCUACGCCGAUCAACUUCAGUAUUUGCAGGCUGCUGAAUUCCAGCGACAGUCACUGCACGAGCAAUAUUUUAGACAACGGCCCAGAUAAAUGGACCACUAUGGUAGAACGUUUUAUAGUAUGCGUUAAGUUUUCCGCACCGAACAAAUGGACUGAAUAUGCUGAGGAAAACUUAAACUUACGCAAGCGCAUCGCCUCGCUUGUGUAGUACCCGUACUUUGAGUAAACGCAUGGAAUAGUCAACGUUAAACGUUAGUGCUUGUGUAAAUAAACUGUGCCGGCUUGCGUGUACUUCAUCGUUCUACCAACAACACCAAUAACAACAACAACAACCAUCAUCAUGACCAUCAUUGACACAAUCCAACCAGGAAGCCAACAAACUUAUGCGUCGCAACCACUUCGCUCCACUCCACUCCACUCCACUUUACUCGAUUCCACUUCACUCCACUCCACUAUACUCCACUCGUAUCAAUAUCGUAUCAACUCCAUCAUAUUGUAAUGUUAAGCAUCAUUAUCUCCAAUGAAAUGUACAUCGAUCGAACACUCCAGUUCGAUUAAUUACUUUCCAUUAGAAUUGUGAAGUACAUUUCAUUUGUGUAAUGCCUAUGCUUUGGGCAAUUAAUUGUUGCAAUUGUUGACAAUUUCUCCCCUCGUCGGCGAAAAAAAUCAACUACGUUAGUAUUUAUUCGGAAUAAAUAGCACAAAACCGCCAUAAAAGAAAAACAAAAGCAAAACAUCAUAUAACUGAAUAUGCAACAAAUCAAACAAGCGUCGGAAGAAAUGAUGAACUGGUGGACUGUAAUGGUAAUGGAAUAAAGUGGCAAUGCGUAGGCAUAUUAAAUAUAUUAAUAAGUUGAAACUUUUAUAAAUACGUUUUACACAACAAACCAAUGUAUAUAAACACAUGAACACAAACGAGUUUACAGCUAAAAUAUACGAUGUGCAUAUAGGCGACAUACGCCACUCGAAAAUAUUUAAGCAACGCAGCAUAAAGCAAUUACAGCAAAUUAAAAACAAAAAUUAAAUGAGAUUUCUACAACAAAAAUAAAAAAUGUGUUGAAAAAAUAUUUGAAAAGUGAAUUUAGCAAAAAGUGUUUAGUGGUAUAUUUUGUAAGUUAUAUAACGUAAAUUUAUAGAAUUUUGUACAAAUAUUCUUUUCGAAAAUAAGUUUUUUGAACGCACAAAAUCGAUUUAGCAACCGAAAUUUGAGCAAAGGUUUUCACGAUAAUAGUGAUACAUUAAGUAGCAGUGAAAUUGACCACACACUACAACAACAAAAAUACUGAAAUAUUUAUGAAAUGAAAUUCACACGCUAUUUGUUCUUUUAAAACGAUGUGAAAAGUAUUUGUGGUGUGUUAUACGCUUACAUCUGGUUUUCUUCGCUUAAACCAUGCUGUUUUUUUGCAAAAAAAAAAAAAUAAAAAACAAAUUAACGGUAACUGCAAAACUGCAGUUGUGGAUUUUUACAGUUUUUCGAACAAACCAAAUUUAAUUGGAAUUUAAUUUUUUGGCAUGCGCCAGUUCACUAUACACACAUAAAUAUGACAGUUAUAUUUAUAACUGUAAUAUGUUUAAGUUGACAAAUAAAUAGCCAUGACAGCGAAGUGUUUUUACUAUUUUUUUAUAAAUAAUUUUAUUUGUAGCUGUGCAGUUGCACUACUGAAUAGACAAAUUAUGGAAUUGUGAUGUAUACACAUACAUACAAAUCGUGUUGAAUACAUACAUACAUACACACACACAUAAAUAUGUAAAUAUGAUACUUUAUUGACCCCAUAACGUUGAACAAAUGCAAAACGCCAUUUUUGCGGUUUUUCUUCAAGUAUUUUGCUUGCUUAGUAUAAUUACAUAUAUAUAAUGUACGCCUCGUUUGUAUGCUUUCAACUUGUAUUAAACAUAUUUAUUUAACUCACUUUAGUAUUAUUUGUUUAUUUAUAUAAUUAAUUAAAAUUUAAUUUUUUUUUUCAAAUAAAUGUAAUUUUACCGCUAAAACCGUUUGGUAGCGUUGCACUUGAACAAAGUAAGCAUAAAAUGUAAGAAACUUAACUUAACUGACAUUCAUUUUAAACUUAGUCUAAUGCUAAAAACAUGUAAGCUGAAGCCUAAACUAUAUGAUUUAAUGUUAAUAUAUAUAAAUGUAGUUAAUAAACAAGUGCAUGCGUCUGAAGUGCAGCGCAACUUGCAAUUUCUUUGAUAAUUCUAAGAGCAUGUAUAUAUAUAUAGAUACCAUAUGCUAAUGUCAAGCUAAAAUGUUUGUGUAUGUAAAUUAGGUGGUGAAAAAAAAAUAAUAAAAAUAUAAAAAUCGAAAUAAUGCAAACAAUGCAACAUAUGGCUUCGGCACUUUAGUGGCGCGUAAGUAAAAAUGAAGAAAAGUUUAACACUAUAAAGGAAAAGGUAGCAUUAUGACAUGUAUUUUCAAGUUGUAUAUAUGCUUCUGUCUGUUUGUAUGCGCUUAAAAUGUCAAAUAAAUACUUCAAAAUAUGCUACAAAAUUACUGCACACUAGUGUAUUAAACUUUAGCUGCCACAACGCAAAAAUCAAAAUUCAGCAACUAAAGUAACGAAACAACUGCAUUACUGUAAAUAAACGCCUGCUAUGAAUAAAGCGAAAAUUUAAGAAUUUAUAUUUAACGUGCAAAAUUAUUGAACAAUAAUGCAUUUUUUACAUAUUUUUUUGUGCUUUGAGUAAAAAAAAAUAAUUUAUUAAAAUGUGAAGUUAAAAAAUAUUUAAUUUUUUAUUUUGCGUCACUAUAUAAACUCAAGCUUUUCAAAAUAAAUAAAAAAAAAAACCACAAAGCACAUACUUGCAAGGUAUUCAACGUAAACAAAUAUAUUCAUUUUGCAAAAAAUAAACAAAAUUUAAUAAUAAGCAAUAGAAGUCAGUUCAUGAGCUAUGAGCUCAAACUGCAGCAUUACAAGCACGUGAAAUGAAAUACGAACAAAAAGAAGCGAAAAUUUGUUUAAAUUAGUUAUUUAGUAAGCACAAUAAGUUAACUUACAACAACAAACAUAUAUACACAUAAACACAUAUUGAAAUAUAUAUAUAUAUAUACACAUAUAUGCAUACAUGUGUAAAUUUAAGUUCAAAUAACGCUACUAGAUUAAUAAGUGUAUAGCGUACAUUUAAGAUCACAAGCAAUUAUUAUAAAAUAUACAUAUAUGAAAUAUUUUACAAUUAAUAUACUAGUUAUAGAAGAUGUGUAAAGAAGUAAAUUCUAAUUAUUGUAAUGACUAACAUUAUUGUGAAAGCGUAACAAAACAAAAAAUACAAGCUGUAGAAAACUAAAAACUAAAAUACAUUGCAUAUAAGAAUUUUGCGUUAGUACCGAAAACACAAAAACAAAAAAAAUAUAUAUAUAUAUACAUAAAACAAAAUGAAAUUUAAUUCAAUUGCGUACAUACAUGCAUAUACACACACACAAAUAGUAAAGAAAUCAAAUUUUAUUAAAUUUCACAAAGAAGAUUCACACAGAAAAA